GGCCUUUUGAUUAUAAUUUAAGGUCUAGCCUGCCCAAUGAUAAAAAUUUAAUGGCCGCAGUAUAUUGACUGUGCAAAGGUAGCAUAAUCAUUAGUUUUUUAAUUGAAAGCUGGUAUGAAAGGUUUGAUGAAAAAAAAACUGUCUCUAUUUAAAAUUUUAGAAAUUUAUUUUUAAGUUAAAAAGCUUAAAUUUAUAUUGAAGACGAGAAGACCCUAUAGAGUUUGAUUUAUGUAAAAAUAAUCAAAAUUUAGUAUUUAAAAUUUUAUUUUUAUAUAAAUUUAGUUGGGGUGAUUGAAAAAUUUAUAAAACUUUUUUUAUAUUUUUACAUUUAUUUAUGAUUUUAUGAUCCUUUUUUAGAUUAUAAGAUAAAAUUACCUUAGGGAUAACAGCGUAAUUUUUUUUAGAGUUCUUAUCGAAUAAAAAGAUUGCGACCUCGAUGUUGGAUUAAAAUUAAAUUUUUGGUGAAGAAGCUAAAAAAUUAGGUCUGUUCGACCUUUAAAUUUUUACAUGAUCUGAGUUUAAACCGGUGUAAG
rnacentral:rRNA from 1 species